GGAAGGAAUGCGGCAGGCGGAAAACUUGGAAAGAAAAGAGCUGUGACCAUCCCUUCUACCGAGAACAUACUUUUCUUCUAAGGAACCGCAGUUGUGUGGAUGCAGGUAGACUUUUUACAGUGGGACGAGUUACUCCAGCAUUUUUACCUGCGCGUUCCGAGUCAGUUCGGGCGAAUCAGUCCUUUCAGCAGAACAUGCCUUAGGCACUUAACCUUUCGUGGCUCAGGUGUGCCAAGACAAAAAAAAAAUGGCCCAAAUGGAA